rnacentral:rRNA from 1 species
UACAGAGGGUGCAAGCGUUAAUCGGAGUUACUGGGCGUAAAGGGCGCGUAGGCGGUUAUAUAAGUGAGAUGUGAAAUCCCUGGGCUUAACCUAGGAAGGUCAUCUCAUACUGUGUAGCUGGAGUAUUGUAGAGGGUAGUGGAAUUUCCGGUGUAGCGGUGAAAUGCGUAGAGAUCGGAAGGAACACCAGUGGCGAAGGCGGCUACCUGGACAAAUACUGACGCUGAGGCGCGAGAGCGUGGGGAGCAAACAGG